GUGGGGAAUAUUGGACAAUGGGCGCAAGCCUGAUCCAGCCAUACCGCGUGGGUGAAGAAGGCCUUCGGGUUGUAAAGCCCUUUUGUUGGGAAAGAAAUCCUGUCGGUUAAUACCUGGCGGGGAUGACGGUACCCAAAGAAUAAGCACCGGCUAACUUCGUGCCAGCAGCCGCGGUAAUACGAAGGGUGCAAGCGUUACUCGGAAUUACUGGGCGUAAAGCGUGCGUAGGUGGUGGUUUAAGUCCGUUGUGAAAGCCCUGGGCUCAACCUGGGAAUUGCAGUGGAUACUGGAUCACUAGAGUGUGGUAGAGGGAUGCGGAAUUUCUGGUGUAGCAGUGAAAUGCGUAGAGAUCAGAAGGAACAUCCGUGGCGAAGGCGGCAUCCUGGGCCAACACUGACACUGAGGCACGAAAGCGUGGGGAGCAAACAGGAUUAGAUACCCGAGUAGUCC
rnacentral:rRNA from 1 species